CAGAGACUGCGAGCGUUAUUCGGAUUCACUGGGCGUAAAGGGUGCGCAGGCGGCCAAGUGUGUUAGGCGUGAAAGCCUGGGGCUUAACCUCAGAAUUGCACCUAAAACUACAUGGCUAGAGCAUUGGAGAGGGUAGCGGAAUUCACGGUGUAGCAGUGAAAUGCGUAGAUAUCGUGAGGAACACCAGAGGCGAAGGCGGCUACCUGGACAAUUGCUGACGCUCAGGCACGAAAGCGGGGGGAGCAAAAGGGAUUAGAUACCCCUGUAGUCCACGCCCUAAACGGUGCACACUAGGUCUUGGCGGAUUCGACCCCACCAGGGCCCAAGCUAACGCGUUAAGUGUGCCGCCUGAGGACUACGGUCGCAAGACUA
rnacentral:rRNA from 1 species